rnacentral:tRNA from 1 species
GGUGGCAUAGCCAAGAGGCCCAAGGCGACGGUUUGCAAAACCGUUAGUUCCUCGGUUCAAAUCCGAGUGCCACCU